UACGGAGGGGACUAGCGUUGUUCGGAAUUACUGGGCGUAAAGGGCUCGUAGGCGGCCAACUAAGUCGGACGUGAAAUCCCUCGGCUUAACCGGGGAACUGCGUCCGAUACUGGAUGGCUUGAGUUUGGGAGAGGGAUGCGGAAUUCCAGGUGUAGCGGUGAAAUGCGUAGAUAUCUGGAGGAACACCGGUGGCGAAGGCGGCAUCCUGGACCAACACUGACGCUGAUGAGCGAAAGCCAGGGGAGCAAACGGG
rnacentral:rRNA from 1 species